CUGUAGAUGCUUCCGGUCUUGCAAAAUGUGGACUUGCUUCAGAAACCACAGCACGUGAUAGGCCGGUAUCUUACAUGAUUUCACUAAACCGACUGGGAAAAGGCACCAGGGUCAGGAGUGCCCUAAGGAACAGAUGAAUGAGAGAAGUAGAAUACGUGCACCAGAAGCUGCGUUUCUGCACAGGACCCUUCCACCCCAGCCCUGUUCAAACAAACGUCAGCUCUGUCAAAGGAGGAAGCUGUGGAGACUACCAAAUGGACUCAUCUAGAUUUCACAUGCAACGUGGCUCUGCCUUCUCUGAGCACUCUGGGCCUUUCCGUGGAGACAGAAUGAAUAGAUAAUGGUGAGUAGCAGGGAGCUAUAUUAAUUCAGAGAUUCCAGGAGGAGAUGAGGAAGAUCAAAUCAACAGCUGUGAAUACCUGUGUGUGUGUGUGUGUGUGUGUGUAUUUAAGAACACUUUAUUCAAGAAUCUGGAAUUUACCUAAUGCUCAUGAUAGGACAAAAAUGACUCUAUUCCCAAAACUAGGUGAUUAUGGAUUGAAAAGACCCCAGACCAAAGGCUAAAGGUUUGUAUGUUAAAACAUAAAAGGGAUACUGAAAACAAAGACAGAGCAAUUCCAAGAAUUUAGAAUCACAGAACCUUAAAUGUGGGGCUAGAAGGGACUUAAAGGUUGUCUAAUUUGCUACCAUCUAGCUGAUGAGGCCCAGUGACAUGAAGAACUUGCAGCUGGUUAAUGGGAGAAUUAGAAUCAGCCUCCUAACUCCCAGGCCAGUGCUCUUUCCAGCACAUCCAUCCCUUAAGAAAAUCCAACUCCUCAUCUCCAAGCCACCCUUUACAAAAGCAUCUGAGUGUGAUUUUAUCCUUGGGUAGAUCACCGUGUAGAUAACUGGUCUUGUGUGAGGCACACCUCAUUCCUCAUUGCAAAUUACUCAAUUUACUCUCUGGGAUGAAUCAUCUCAUAUGGCACUGGGAAGCUUGAACCACUUCCUAGGACCACUGGACUGGGAAAAUAAAAAAAUCUGAGCUCAGGCCAUAUUUCUGUCAAGUCACUUAACCUUGCAGGUCUGUUCUCUUUAUGUUCUCUUUAUGAAGUUAGAAAAAUGUUUGGGUGAUCUCUCAGGGCCCUCUCAGCUCCAAAUUGUUAAGAUUCUAUUUAAACACAUUUGAAGGGGAGACAAUGGGGGACAGGAUGGUGACUAUCUUUUUAUAUGCAAACGUACAUUGUAAGUUCCAAAAGGGAGUGUGGAUAUGAACUGCUAGUAGAGGAAAUGGACCCAGGUGGCUUGACAGCACCAGUGAGCAAAGCUGGGAAAGACCUAAGAAGUCUUUGAACAAAAUGAUGUUUAGAUAAAAGGAAUGACAAAUGAACCAGGUCAACAGAGAAUCUAGGUUAAGCUCAUUGAGAGUCCAUUGGCUGAGAAUAUGGGAGAGACUAGAUUGUUGAAUUUCUCUGAGUCUGGUCUAACAAUGGGAUAGGAAGGGAAAAUUAUUCUAUGAUCACAUAGGUUUUUUUCUUUUCUUUUUUUUUUAAACGAGUCUCGCUCUGUCAUCCAGCCUGGAGUGUAGUGGCGCAAUCUUGGCUUACUGCAAGCUCCGCCUCCUGGGUUCACGCCAUUCUCCUGCCUCAGCCUCCCCAGUAACUGGGACUACAGGCGCCCACCACCUUGCCUGGCUAAUUUUUUUGUCUUUUUAGUAGAGACGGGGUUUCACCGUGCUAGCCAGGAUGGCCUCGAUCUUCUGACCUCGUGAUUUGCCUGUCUUGGCCUCCCAAAGAGCUGGGAUUACAGGCGUGAGCCACUGCGCCUGGCCUUUUUUUUUUGAUGAGGGUUCUGCUCCGUCACCCAGGCUGGAGUGCAGUGGCAUCAUCUCAGCUCACUGCAACCUCCACCUCACAGGCUCUAGUGAUCCUUCUGCCUCAGCCUCCCAAGUAGGUGGGACCACAGGCAUACACCACCAAACCUGGCUAAUUUUUCUUGUAGUUUUGGUAGAUACAGGUUUUCUUCAUGUUGCCCAGGCUGGUCUCGAACUCCUGAGCUCAGGGAAUCUGCCCGUUUUGGCCCCGCAAAGUGCUGGGAUUACAAGCAUGAGCCACGGCGCCUGACCCACGUAGGUUUUUUAUAACACUGGGUAAAACAAAGUUAAAUUGGUUUCUUUAUGAAGGCUUUCUCAGAACCUUUACUAUGAUAAAACGCUUUGGGAAUAUCCAAGGUACAGAAUUUCCCAGAUCCAUUUGGCCAUGGAUCACACUGUUUUGUGGUACAGUCCAUGAGAAAUGCUGUCCUAGAACUGACCUGGAGAGAGGGGGAAGGAGAGUUCGGGGUGACACUUUAGAACUUCUGCAGGGAUGUAGAUCAAAGCUGAAAGGUAAAAACUAAGCCCUUCAAACAGGUUUCCUCCUCCAAACACCAAAGUAGGUUAUGAGCAUAUCUGAGCCUGGGACUGGAGACUGUAAGGUAGUAAAAAUCUACGGGAGAGACGGUGACCUUGAAAUGAAGGCCUGCAAUGAAGUACGUGCCUUUUAAAAGGAGGGAGUGGGUGAACUACGGCUUGACUGUCUCAUGCUUUCAAUUAUUCCAAAUUAGUUGUGUUGCUUACAUGGUUUUGUGUUAUCCUGGGCUGUAAAUGGUAUCCACAGCAGAACAUCCCUCACAUUGACUCAUUUUUAUAUGCUUUUAUUUAUUUAUUUUUUGCAAAGACCAAUUUUGCAGUGUGAGUAAAGGGGGCAGGCUAGAGCUGAGAACUGGCUCUUGGGUGAAGACAUGGAAUGUCUGUGCUGGAAGGGACCUGGAGUUCUAACUUGAGGUCCCUGGAUGUGCAUCAGAGGAUCAGUGGAUUCAUGUGCUCAGUUUUGUGAGGAUGUGCCCGUCCGCUGUUUCUAGGGGAACAGUGUAAAUGGCUUUCAGUAAAUUCUCAAAUGGGCCUUUAAUCCCCAAAGCAGUCAGCAGUGCCUUACUGAGGCUUAUUUUACAGGGAAAGAAACUGAGGCUCAGAGAGAUAAAACAGUUUGCUGGCUGUCAGCAUGAUGACUUUGAUCUUUGGUUGCUGGCAGGAGAGUUGCCCUGAGAGCUGGUAAGCAGUAGGUACAAUAAAGAAUCUGCUGAGUGAACCUUGACCAUGGGUUUUGAGGUUGUCCUCACCCCUGGACUGGAGUAGGUUUUAAGAUAUACAUUGUGUUCUCCAUUUGACAGCUAGAAUACCGACAAUGCAAAUUAAUCAGAGUUACCGAAACUUGAACAUUUGCACUAAAAGCCCUAAGUCUUGACUCUCCCAAGAAAUUACUCACAAUUAAAGUGUUAUACAUUCCAUAAACAAUAUGCAAACAAAUCUAGAAAUAAAUUGGUUUUAAAUAUGCAAUAAUCAUGAAAGGUUUUCUCUGUAUUCAGGAUUACUGUGUGUUUUGCCUUGGAUAUCACAAAGAUUUUGAAAUAAAACGAGUUUUCAUUUUACCUUUUAGGAACAUGAUAUAAUUUAUCUGCAUGAUUGCAUUUUAAUUAGCACUCCCAUUGCCUAUUUAAACGUGCAAAGAUAUAAAAUGAGCCAACCAAACAGGAAGACACAUAGCCAAGGUGUUAGCUACUGUACUGUUAUUGAGCACAGCCUUGGGAUGAAGCCCGCACCAGACUCAAGUUUUAGUAAUGUGAACUGGUUCAAAAUAAAGCCGUUUGUAUGCAUAAUAUUUUACAUAAGGGUUAAGCUGCCUUAGCAAUUGGUGAUAAUUAUGGAUCUUUGCACAGCUCUGAGGAUCUUCAAACAUUCUUUGGGAGUAAAUCAGGCAUUUCUGCAAUUAAAAAAACAACAUGUAAAGAAUUUUACAGGGAGCAUUUUAACACAAGUCUUAGAUGGUGAGGUGAUGACUCUGGGAACCCUAAAACUACAUCGGAGUUGCACCUGUGUGGAGCUGGGGG
ensembl:lincRNA